rnacentral:rRNA from 1 species
UCAGAGUGAGAUUAAGCCAUGCGAGUUAACGUAGCAAUACGUGGCGCACGGCUCAGUAACACGUAGUCAACAUGCCCAGAGGACGUGGAUAACCUCGGGAAACUGAGUCUAAACCGCGAUAAGUGAGGAUUUCUGGAAUGGUUCCUGACUAAAAUCUAUAUGGCCUCUGGAUUGGACUGCGGCCGAUCAGGCUGUUGGUGAGGUAAUGGCCCACCAAACCUGUAACCGGUACGGGCUCUGAGAGGAGGAGCCCGGAGAUGGGCACUGAGACAAGGGCCCAGGCCCUAUGGGGCGCAGCAGGCGCGAAACCUCUGCAAUAGGCGAAAGCC